rnacentral:rRNA from 1 species
UACAGAGGGUGCAAACGUUGCUCGGAAUCAUUGGGCGUAAAGCGCACGUAGGCGGUCUGAUAAGUCGGAUGUGAAAGCCCUGGGCUCAACCCAGGAAGUGCAUUCGAAACUGCCAGACUUGAAUAUGGAGGAGGGUCGCGGAAUUCCCGGUGUAGAGGUGAAAUUCGUAGAUAUCGGGAGGAACACCAGUGGCGAAGGCGGCGACCUGGGCCAAUAUUGACGCUGAGGUGCGAAAGCGUGGGGAGCAAACAGG